rnacentral:rRNA from 1 species
UACGUAGGGGGCUAGCGUUGUCCGGAAUCAUUGGGCGUAAAGAGCGUGUAGGCGGCCCGGUAAGUCCGCUGUGAAAGUCGGGGGCUCAACCCUCGAAUGCCGGUGGAUACUGUCGGGCUAGAGUGCGGAAGAGGCGAGUGGAAUUCCUGGUGUAGCGGUGAAAUGCGCAGAUAUCAGGAGGAACACCGACUGCGAAGGCAGCUCGCUGGGACGUCACUGACGCUGAGACGCGAAAGCGUGGGGAGCAAACAGG